GAAUAUUAGUCAAUGCUCGAAAGAGUGAACUAGCUAACUGAAAUCAAUAAAAUAAUUGAUAACAUAAGGGAAAAUAAUGAUAUUACCUUAUUAUUAGUGUCGUCCAAAACUGGUGCCAGAAGACUCGGUAAGGCCAGAGACACAAACGUUAAUCGUCUUAAUCAGGCGUAAAGGGUUUGUAGGCGGCUUUAAAAUUUACUAACAAAUAAAUAAAUAAAAAGUAAAGAAUAAAAGCUAGAAUCAAAUAGAGGAUAUAUGAAAUAAUGUUUAGAGUAGGUCUGAUAUCCUUAGAUACUAAGUAGAAUAUUAAAGGCGAAAGCUUUUUUCCAUUAAUGAUUGACGCUCAGAAACGAAAGUGAGGAUAGGAAAUAGGAUUUGAUACCCAAAAUACCCCUCUCUGUCAACGAUGAAUGGUAAUUUAUUAGUAUAAUUAUUAAUAAUAAUGUUAACACGAUAACCAUUCCGCCUUGUGAGUACAACUGCAAAGUUGAAAACAAAAAAAUUAGUCGGUUUCGGAGCAAACGAAGUGAAGCAUGUUAUUUAAUAA
rnacentral:rRNA from 1 species